rnacentral:tRNA from 1 species
AGUUAAUGAACUUGAAUAAGUAUAUAUUUUGAAAAUAUAAAAAAGAAAUAAUAAUUUUCUAUUAACUU